rnacentral:rRNA from 1 species
GAUGAACGCUGGCGGCGUGCCUAAUACAUGCAAGUCGAGCGAACAGAUAAGGAGCUUGCUCCUUUGACGUUAGCGGCGGACGGGUGAGUAACACGUGGGUAACCUACCUAUAAGACUGGAAUAACUCCGGGAAACCGGGGCUAAUGCCGGAUAACAUUUAGAACCGCAUGGUUCUAAAGUGAAAGAUGGUUUUGCUAUCACUUAUAGAUGGACCCGCGCCGUAUUAGCUAGUUGGUAAGGUAACGGCUUACCAAGGCAACGAUACGUAGCCGACCUGAGAGGGUGAUCGGCCACACUGGAACUGAGACACGGUCCAGACUCCUACGGGAGGCAGCAGUAGGGAAUCUUCCGCAAGGGGCGAAAGCCUGACGGAGCAACGCCGCGGGAGUGAUGAAGGUCUUCGGAUCGUAAAACGCUGUUAUUAGGGAAGAACAAAUGUGUAAGUAACGGUGCACGUCUUGACGGUACCUAAUCAGAAAGCCACGGCGAACUACGU